UACACGGUGGCGCAGUUGGUAGCACUGGUGCCUUGCAGCAAGAAGGUCCUGGGUUCAAGUCCCAGCUGAGGGUCUUUCUGUAU